AAGCAUUUCGCUCAUCACCAAGGUUAAAAAAAUUAAACGGAAAAAGAUUGGGAUCGAUCAUAUACCCUAAUCUCUAGUUUCUUUAGAUUUCUUAUCAUUUGUUCUGUAUUCCAUAACCUAAUCCUCAGUUUUCAAAUUGAUGCCUCUCAUAGUCCACAACCCCACCAUCAUCGACACUGGACCAUCCAAACACAAUGUCGCACACCAUACCAUCACGAGAAUAGGUAUGAUUCCAAUUGUGAUUUUGAUUUUGAUUUAGUUGUUGAUUUUUUUUUUCAAUUUCCAAACGUAAAAGAAAAGCAGACCAUCGCUUCAUCGGACAUUUGGUAAUCCAUCUAUUAAUUCUUGUUGUUUUCGGCAAGUUUUGCAAAUUCAUAUCUUGACUCUGUUACAUGUUUCUCCGUUUAUUUUAAAUCCAAAACUAGGUUGAAUUUCAAAACUUAAAUCCAUCAUAAGCACGCUACUUGAUAGGAUCACGAUUUUAUUUUGGUUCAUGUAGAAUUUCAAAAGCUAAAUUGAGGGAUUACAUUCAGAAAAUUAAAGCAAUUGCUGCUAACUUGGCUUCCCAGGUGCCGCUGCUGAAGUUGCCAUUAUUAACUUCUCGAAUCCUUGAAAGCUUCUUCUAGAAAUGGGUAAAAAUAAGAAAUUGAAAAGAAUUUACCUCUGGUUUUUUCUUUUACUUUCAUUUUCUAACUGAUCCCUUCAAUUUGUUUCUCUUUAACAAUUCAACAUUUUUUUUUUCACUUCAGGUGACUAUUGGCGCUUUACAACUUGAAGUAAGUUUCUUAUUUUUUAUAUCUCAAAACUCUCUCAUAAAGUGGUUAUAGUCCGAUAUUUGAUUUGAUAAAUAUAUAUGCUUUUCGAUGAGGAAUCUUUUAAUAUUUCAUAUUUGAGGUUAUACAGUUAAGUUAUUGUGUUAGGUGACAUGUUAUGUUGUUGCUCCACAAGUGUUUGAUGAAAUGCCUACACGAAAGUAAUAGUACAAAAUACCACUUCACUUUAUUGUACAUAGUUCCAGGAGCUUAAUAUCAUUAUAUCUGGCUUUCAGCUAUAAUAAUAAGAAUGGGGUCGAGUAAUGUUUAUAAAAUAUAAUUAUAUGCUAAUUUACAGCAUACAAAUAUUUGGGCCUUGUAUGUACAUACAUUCUCACUCAUUUUGGUGUUACAAGUGUAUCAUAUUUUUGUAUUAUUUCAAAUUGUUAUCGACAUUUUUAUAUUAUUUCUUACUUUUAUUGGUCUAUGCUGUGGCAGUGAACUAAAUGUCAGUCCUGAUGCAUCCGAGUUGUGUAGGUGAUCUCUAUCUCAAAAUUUAUUUAUAAUCAAUAAAUUAGAAAUGAAUAACAAUCAAUAUGAAAACAAACAAAAUGUUAAUCAUUUAUCUUUUUCUUUUAAAUUUAUUUGUUUCUAGAUGAUGUUUGUGAGAUGACUUCAAAUAAUAGAGAUAAUAGGUUCAAUUUUCUUUUAGGAGUGGAGAGAAGGAAGAGGUUACAUAAACAAAGAGAAACAAUCUUUUUUUGAAGACUUUUUAUUUUAAAUAUAGACAAUAUUGUUGUUAAACAAGUUAAAUUUGAAUUUAAGUAAUGAUAAUAGGUUCUCCAUUUAUUA
rnacentral:lncRNA from 1 species